UAAGUGUGUGCAUGCACACGUGAGCAUGUGGAAGCCACAGGAGAUGCUGUUCCACAGAGUACCAACCUUGGUUUUGAGAUAGUUUCUCUCUCGUAGGCCUGGAGUUCACCAGUUAAGCUAAACUGACUGCCCAGCAAGCCCCAGGAAUUGGCUUGUGUCUUUCUCCCUACUGCUGCUGUGCCCAGAUCCAGUUGUUUUACUUGGGCCCUGGGGACUAAAUCCAGGUCCUUGUGCUCCCAAGACAAGUACUUUACUGCUGACUCAUCAUGUCUGCCCUGACGCCUCCGACUGAUAUGCCAACCCCCACCACUGACAAGAUAACCCAGGCUGCCAUGGAGACCAUCUACCUCUGCAAAUUCCGGGUGUCUAUGGAUGGAGAAUGGCUCUGCCUUCGAGAGCUGGAUGACAUCUCCCUUACACCUGACCCAGAGCCUACCCAUGAAGAUCCUAAUUAUCUCAUGGCUAACGAGCGCAUGAACCUGAUGAACAUGGCGAAGCUGAGCAUCAAGGGCUUGAUUGAGUCGGCUCUGAACCUGGGGCGGACCCUGGACUCUGACUACGCACCUCUCCAGCAGUUCUUCGUGGUGAUGGAACACUGCCUGAAACAUGGCUUGAAAGCCAAGAAAACUUUUCUUGGACAAAAUAAGUCCUUCUGGGGUCCUCUAGAGCUGGUAGAAAAGCUUGUUCCAGAAGCUGCAGAGAUAACAGCAAGUGUAAAAGAUCUCCCAGGACUCA
rnacentral:lncRNA from 1 species